UGACCAGGUCACAGAACCCAGCUAUGGCCU
rnacentral:sRNA from 1 species